AAACCGUCGUUGUCAGCUAGGCAACCUGAUGAGCCCUGAGAGGGCGAAACGGUUU
rnacentral:hammerhead_ribozyme from 1 species